rnacentral:snRNA from 1 species
GUGCUUGCUUUGGCAGCACAUAUACUAAAAAUUGGAACUAUACAGAGACCAUUAGCAUAAUCUCUGCACAAGAAUGACACACAAAUUCACAAAGCAUUCUGUAUUUUU